AGCCCUCCAGGAUCCGUGGAGUCCAAGCUGUGACUGAUCCCAGCCCCGCGCGGGAGAGCUGAGCACACUCCUGAGGAGGGGAAGCCGCGGCCGUGACCUGGGAGCUGUGAGACCUCGUCCUGCCCUGGCUGCGUCCACAGGAGCUCCGAAGCACCGGGAUGGCCGAUGGAUCCGGCCCUGGGGCACCAGUUCCACCGCCGGACACAGCCCUUGGCAGCCAGCCCCGGCCAGAGCUUCAGACUAGACCUGGAAAGCCACAUCCUAUGAACCUCCUGGCUACACCUUCUUCAGUGCAGACAUGAAGCAACACUCCUGUGGCCGAGCACUGGCAGGACAAAAGGGAAGCUCCAGGAAUGACAACGGGCACAACCAUAGCCCCAAACUGGAGCAAACUGGAGUCUGGUACUUUGCCAUCCUGGUAUUACAGUUUACAGACAGCGUAAAAAUUCCUUUUGGAGUUCGGAAUAUCAAGGUGAGACUUUUUGGCCAAUUCCUGUACUUUUGACACCACUUCCAAUGUUCACAGAGCAUUUCAGCUUCCCAGGUGCUGCCCCGGCGAGGGCUGGGGGGUCCGAAGGGCAGGAAACCC